GAUAAGGUCUGUAAGACUCACGAGUACUGCAAGGCCGAUUUUCAACCUACAUGUACCCCCCGACCCAGAGGAUGACGUGGGUAAAAGAAGGCCCGCAAGGAAAAGCACACUGGAGGAACAUGAACGACGUCAACAUGUUGGCCUACUGAAUAAAGUUAUUUGUACUCACGAA